rnacentral:rRNA from 1 species
GACGAACGCUGGCGGCGUGCUUAACACAUGCAAGUCGUACGGUAAGGCCCUUUCUGGGGGACACGCGUGGCGAACGGGUGAGUAACACGCGAGUAACCUGCCCACCACUUAGGGAGAACGCUAGGAAACUGGUGCUAAUACUGGAUAUGUGCUCCUGCUGCAUGGAUGGGGUUGGGAAACUCCUGCGGUUGUGGAUUGACCCGCGGCCCAUCAGCUUGUUGGGUGGGUAGUGGCCUACCAAGGCGGCGACGGGUAGCCGGCCUGGGAGGGUGACCGGCCACAUUGGGGCUUGGAUACGGCCCAGGCUCCCACGGGGGGCAGGAGGGGGGAAUAUUGCACCAUGGGCGCAAGCCUGAUGCAGCCACGCCGCGUGCGGGAUAACGGCCUUCGGGUUGUAAACCGCCUUCCGCAGGGACGAAGCCUUUUGUGACGGUACCUGCAGAAGAAGCACCGGCUAACUACGUG